UUACUCGUAGCUUAAUUGGAUAAAGCGGAGCACUUCUAAUGCUCCGAUCUGGGUUCAACUCCUGGCGAGUGCA
rnacentral:tRNA from 1 species